UACAGAGGUGGCAAGCGUUGUUCGGAUUCACUGGGCGUAAAGGGUGCGUAGGUGGCCAGGUAAGUUCGGUGUGAAAGCUCGGAGCUUAACUCCGAAAUGGCAUUGAAUACUAUCUGGCUAGAGGGUCGGAGGGGAGACUGGAAUUCUCGGUGUAGCAGUGAAAUGCGUAGAUAUCGAGAGGAACACCAGUGGCGAAGGCGAGUCUCUGGACGACUCCUGACACUGAGGCACGAAAGCCAGGGGAGCAAACAGG
rnacentral:rRNA from 1 species